rnacentral:lncRNA from 1 species
UCACCUGAAUUCUAGCUUGCGCUCUGCCUCUGUCAAACUAUGGGACUUUGCUGGAUUCUCAGGUUCCCCAUCCAUGGAAUGGAAGCUCCUCCCUGUCUCCCCUACUUCACAGGAAUAUUUUGAGCAUCAUAAAAAUUAAUAAAUGGGAAGGAAGGUCCUUAGCAAGCUAUCAUUUGCUAUACAAAUCUGGCUAUACUUUUAGAACUAGACCUUCAGGGGAGCCAGGUCUGAAAGACCUGAAGUUUCUGAGCUUCCAAGUUUAUCUUCCUUUGCAUAUUUCAUUUGCCUAACUUUAGUGGACAGGAUCAUUAAUAUUAAUGUUCAGGCUUCAUGAAUUAUGCACCUGAACAAAGACAUUUUUCUUCUACCUUUCCCGUCUUAUACUUCAUCUCUCAAGCCCAGUGAGCCUCAACCACUAGCAAAGACCCCACAGAAAAUGAAGAUGUGUCCUUAAGAUAGCAGGACAUGUGGCCGUCCCCACACCAGGCAUCAUCCACUGCCAGCAGAAAGUCUAGACAUAUCCAUAUGCCAGCACGCAUUCACAGUUCCAAGUGCUGAUCUCAGUUUUCACCAAAGUCAGUGGGGACAUUUGCCACCUAGUGACUCAGGCAGAAGAGAGGUUGGACAUGUCCACAAUGGAAGUCUGGUUCCACACUCAGUCAAUGGCUUGUCCACAAAAUAAUGGACCCCAAGGAGGCCCACUGAAGAUAUAACUUCCAAGGGAGAGAAGGGAAAAGCAUAUAUAUUUGGUAAGCAAUGAUGUUUCUCCCACAUUUCCACAAUAGUCAACAGGUGCCAAGGGAGGUAGGAGGGAAAUGCUUAUGGUGGCAGAAUAACACCCCAAGCCCAAAGAGGUCCACCUCAUAACACUUAGAAUCUAUGAAGAUGUACCAUACGUGACAAUGCAUUAGAGGUUGCAAAGAGAAUUAGACUUCCUGAUCAGCCGACUUCAAGAUGGGUCAAUUAUCCUGGAUUAUCCAGGUGGACCCAGGGUAAUCACAAGCAUUUUUAAGUGGAGAAAGUGGAGAUGGAAGAAAAUGCAUGUCAGAGUGAAAAAAAAGCUCAAUGCGCCAUUGUUGACUUGAGAGAGGAAAGUAAGCCAAGAGCUAAGGAGUGUGGGCAACCUUUAGAAGAUGGGAAAGGCUUACAUUUUCUCUGAGAGCCUCCAAAAAUGAAUUGGGUCCUAGCAGCACCUUGGUUUUAGCUCAGCAAAACCGACUUCAAAUUCCUGACCUUCAGAACUGAAAUGGAAUAAAUCUGUGCUGUCAUAAACCACUAAGUUUGUGGUUAUUUGUUACAGGAGCCAUAGGAAAAUAAUACAAAUACCUAGAUGCUAAAUCAAUCUGGAGAUUACACAACCAAAGACAUUAUCCCUCUACUAAAACCAGAGAGCUGAAAGAUUUGUCUCUUCUCUGAGUCUCCAGUUAUUCAUCAAUAGGAGGGCUGGACAUUGGUCUCAAGGGUUCUUCUAGAUCUGUAACCAAAGUCUCUGAACAUAUGUUGCCAUUGUAGCUGAUCACCACUCUCCUGACAGUAAUGGAACCACCGAUGUGGCUGCAGAAGACUGGAAAAACAAAUAUCAACCUUGUUUUUAGAGACAAUUCACAGAUACAUGAGACCUUUCAUAAUAUUGCUGUAUUAGGUAUUCAUAGCUCUCUCUAUAAAAAAAUUUCCCAAAGUUCCGGUAGUGGCUUAGUGGCAAUGAACCCAAUUAGUAUCCAUGAGGAUGCAGGUUUGAUCCCUGGCCUUGCUCAGUGGGUUAAGGAUCCAGCAUUUCCAUGAGCUGUGGUGUAGGUCACAGACAUGGCUCGGAUCUUGUGUUGCUGUGGCUGUGGCAUAGGCUGGCAGUUGUAGCUCUGGUUCGAUCCUUAGCCUGGGAAAGUCCCUAUGUCUUGGGUGUAGCCCUGAAAAGCAGGAAAAAAAAAUCCCCAAACUGAACAAGGGACAUAUGUUAUGUCCUAGUUGCUACGGGUAAGGAUUCUGGGCAUACCUCAGCUUGGUACCAAUGGCUCAACAUCUCUCUCUAUCUCACCAUGUUUUAACCAAGGUGUUAGCCAGGUCCACAGUCAAGACCUGACUAGGAGAUAAUGUGUUUCCAAGCUGACUGAUAUGGCUGCUGGCCAACUUCAGAUCCUCAUGGGCUACUGACUGGAGAGAUUAGUUCCCUGUCAUGUGGCCUUUUCAUGGAGCUGCUCACAACACGGCAGCUGGCUUCCCUCCGACUGAGCCAUAGUCUUAAUGGGGUCUAACAUCUGAAGUGACACCUAAUCCUUCUCCUCUAUUAUAUUCAUUAGAAGAGAAUUAAUAAGUCUGGUUUGCAGUCAAUUGCUGGGGGCAGAGGAGGACUCAAGGAAGUAAGUACCAAGAGGCAUGGCGCAUUGUGACGCAUCUAAGGAGUGAAACACCUCAGAUGCCCUCUAUAAUAUGUAGAAUGACGAAUCAGUGGUUAUGCCAAACUAUUACAGAGGAGAAUGAGUUUGAUUCUCAGCUAAGGGAAAAAUAUCAUAUUUUAGUAUGGCUGGUUUGACCAAAAGUCAGGAGAUUGAUAUAAUGAGGUUUGAGUCAUAUCUUCAAACCCCUCCUGGGUCUCCGACAUCAGCCUGGCCUGGGUCUGCUGAGGAUGAAGGAUGGAGCAUUUCAAUUGCACUCUUGGUCCAACCUGCCAUCAUUUCACACCUAGAUGAUUGCAAUAGCUCCUUAAUGGCCUACUGCCUUUCAACUCAUUUUCUUUAAAGUAGCAAGAAUAUCUUUAAAAUAAAUUAUGCUACUCUUCCGCUUAAGAUCUUCCAAUGGUGCUUACGUACUUAGGAGAAAGCCUGAAAUCCUUACCAGCCUUAUAAGACCAGCAUGAUCUGACAGCUGCCUAUCUCUCCAAUCUUGUUUCAGGCUUUUCUUCUCCUUCAUUCCCUACUCUCAAGCCAGCAUAUCCUUCUUUGGGUCCCUUAAUCCUAUCAAAUUAUUUCUUGCCCAGAGCCUUUGUACACUAAUGUUGCUUCUUGCCUGAUACAAGUUUCUUCAGACCUUACCUGGCUAAUUUCUACUUUGUUCAAAUGCCAUCUAUGCAAGUGAUGCUUUGAGUAAUUUUACAGGUGGUUUCCUUGUUUAAGGUCUAUCUCUUUCAUUUGACUUCAAGUUUCAGGGGAGAAAAUCCAUGUCAUGUAAUGUCACCACUUCAUACCAGUAUUUUUAAAAACUGCCUAGCACAUAGGAGUUCAAUAAAAAGACUAUCCAAACUCUUCUGUGGACAAGCCACAUCUCCUUCCUACAGGUCUAAAAAGAACUAUAUACACAAAGAAAGAAGAACAAGGCAUGGAACAUACACUGGAGUCAAACCAUAGUUAUCACAUAGGAUCUCUUUUUUUCCUAUACGUGUUAGUUUUAAAUAUAUCCUUAAAUCCAUCAAGCUGAAGGUCUACUAUGUCUAUUUCCCCCUCCAUUGUUCAAAUAUGUAUCCUAAUUACUUCAAUGAACCUGGCGGCAUCAGAGAAAAAGGAUAUAGAGGGAAAAAAAUGUUUGUUCCUUGGCAGAGAGCCAAUUUUGCUUAGGCUGCCUGCAGAUUUCUCAGUUGGGGACAGCAUCUAUAGGGGAAAAAGAGAACAGCUAAAAGGAAGAGAAAGAGACAAAUAAGGCUGUACCAUCAUUGACUUAUGGAAGAACGAGAGAAAAGGGCAUAUGUACCAUCUUUUUAUUCCCUUGAAAUUUCUACCCAUCAGGAUCAUUGUCCUCAUAAAAGAGCCUGGAAUAAGGUGACUCAGGUCAACCUCCCUUUUCCAAUUCUUCCUCCCUGAUAGGGGAGUGCUCUACCCUUGACCUUGCUACACCUUUAGAGAGGAUGAAAGACAGGAGUAGGAGAAGGAGGGAUUGGGGCCCUGACUCUGUCCCCUAGAGAACAACAGCAAGAAUUAUUGGAAUGAAGUGGUUCCUGUGUAUGUAAGUGAUAUCAUAUGGUAUUUAUCUAUCUCUUUCUGGCCUACUUCAUUUCGUAUGAGAAUCUCUAGUUCCAUCCAUGUCGAUGCAAAUGGCAUUAUUUUUAUCUUUUUUAUGGCUGAAUAGUAUUCCAUUUUAUAUAUGUACCACAUCUUCUUAAUCCAUUCACCUGUCAAUGGACAUUUCCUUUGGUAUUGUGAAUAGUGUUGCAAUGAACAUGGGGUGCAUGUAUAUUUUUUUAAUGAAAAGUUUGUCCAGAUGUAUGCCCAGGAGUGUGAUUGCUGGAUCAUAUGGUAGUUUCAUGUUUAGUCUUCUGAGGAACCUCCAUAUUUUUUUCCAUAGUGGUUGUACCAAUUUACAUUCCCACAUGGAACAAAAGAACCUACCUUCAAAAACAGACUAAUGGAUAUAAAGAACAGACUUGUGGUUGCCAAGGGGAAGGGGAGAGGGAGUGGGAUGGACUUGGAGUUUGGGAUUAGUAGAUGCAAACUAUUACAUUUAGAAUGGAUAAGAAAUGAGGUCCUACUGUACAGCACAGGGUACUAUAUCCAAUCUCUUGGAAUAGAACAUGAUGGAAGAUAGUAUGAGAAAAAGAAUGUGUGUGUGUGUGUGUGUGUGUGUGUGUGGCUGAGUCACUAUGCUGUAUAGCAGAAAUUGACACAACACUAUAAAUUAACUAUAUUCUAAUAAAAAUAAAUUAAAAAAAGAACGGGAGUUCCCUUCAUGGCUCAGCAGUUAAUGAACCCCACUAGGAUCCAUAAGAAUGUAGGUUCAAUCCCUGGCUUCUUUCAGUGGGUUAAGGAUUUGGUGUUGCCAUGAGUUAUGGUGUAGGUCACAGAUGUGGCUCGGAUCCGGCAUUGUUGUGGCUUUAGCAUAAGCCAGUGACUGUAGCUCCGAUUUGACCGCAGCCUGGGAACAUCCAUAUGCCGCAGGCAUAACC